rnacentral:rRNA from 1 species
UUAAUUGAAGAGUUUGAUCAUGGCUCAGAUUGAACGCUGGCGGCAGGCCUAACACAUGCAAGUCGAGCGGCAGCACAGAGGAACUUGUUCCUUGGGUGGCGAGCGGCGGACGGGUGAGUAAUGCCUGGGAAAUUGCCCGGUAGAGGGGGGAUAACCAUUGGAAACGAUGGCUAAUACCGCAU